UCCCUGACAGUCUAGUAGUUAAGACUCCACACUUCCACUACAGAGGGCACAGGUUUGAUCCCUGAUCAGGGAA
rnacentral:tRNA from 1 species